GGGCUGAAGACUCUACUUGACUAGCUGAGAGGAGGUGCAUGGCCGUCGUCAGUUCGUACUGUGAAGCAUCCUGUUAAGUCAGGCAACGAGCGAGACCCACGCCAACAGUUGCCAGCUCGUCCUCCGGGAUGGUGGGGACACUGUUUGGGACCGCCUCUGCUAAAGAGGAGGAAGGAAUGGGCAACGGUAGGUCAGCAUGCCCCGAAUUAUCUGGGCUACACGCGGGCUACAAUGGGUGGGACAAUGGGUAUCGACACCGAAAGGUGAAGGCAAUCUCCUAAACCCAUCCGUAGUUCGGAUUGUGGGCUGCAACUCGCCCACAUGAAGCUGGAAUCUGUAGUAAUCGUGUCUCAAAAUGGCACGGUGAAUAUGUCCCUGCUCCUU
rnacentral:rRNA from 1 species